GACGAACGCUGGCGGCGUGCUUAACACAUGCAAGUCGAACGGUGAAGCCCAGCUUGCUGGGUGGAUUAGUGGCGAACGGGUGAGUAACACGUGGGCAACCUGCCCCAAACUCUGGGAUAACUCCUCGAAAGAGGUGCUAAUACCGGAUACGAACUAGGCAGCCAUCUGUACUAGUUGGAAAGUUUUUCGGUUUGGGAUAGGCCCGCGGCCUAUCAGCUUGUUGGUGAGGUAACGGCUCACCAAGGCUACGACGGGUAACCGGCCUGAGAGGGCGACCGGUCACACUGGGACUGAGACACGGCCCAGACUCCUACGGGAGGCAGCAGUGGGGAAUAUUGCGCAAUGGGCGAAAGCCUGACGCAGCGACGCCGCAUGAGGGAUGAAGGUCUUCGGAUCGUAAACCUCUUUCAGUAGGGACGAAGCGAAAGUGACGGUACCUAAAGAAAAAGCACCGGCUAACUACGUGCCAGCCGCCGCGGUAA
rnacentral:rRNA from 1 species